AGGUAAUACAUGAUAAAAGACACUAGAUAGGAGUAAUAUAUGAUAGAUAAUACAUGAUUUGAUCCAGAAGCUGAGUGGGAUUCCAGUAUUACAGUGAAAGGGUGGAAGUGACAGAGUACUCUCCUCUCCUCCACUGCAACGCUGUUUCCUCCCUCAGGUACUCUGUCUAUCCCAUCUCUCCACUUCUGUCUUUCAUAGUGGCUUCACUGACUGAUGGCUUUCUCUCGUGUGUGUGUGUGUGUGUGUGUGUGUGUGUGUGUGUGUGUGUGUGUGUGUGUGUGUGUGUGUGUGUGUGUGUGUGUAUUUUUAACUUAAUUUUUUUAAUAUUAUUUUUUUCAGGUUCAAUGGAAGAUGAGGGUCACAUCAAGUCAAACUCCUCCAGCUCAUCGUCUCUGCACAGACAUAUGGACAGACAUCACACCCAGAGGGGUCAUCUCAACUUCUCACCCUUCGGUGCAGGGGCUGCGCUCUAAGGCAGGGGACGCUGGGAGCACCCCUCACGUUUAGGGACGAGGUGAGUGUCGUCAUCCGUAUCGUACCCUACCUCGCUGCUCUCCCUUCCUCUCCUUUCAGCACUUCCUCUUCCUGUUGUAUCCUUCUUGUAUCCUGUCACCCUGCUCCCAAGUAAAGUUGCCCGUAACCACCGAUCUAGGAUCAGAUUAUCAUCCCUGUAACCCUAACCUUAACCAUUAGGAGGGGAUAUGCGAGUAUAAGGGGCAACCUCAUCCUACUCUGUUCCACUCAUUGCUCAAAAAGGAAACUGCAGUUCUGGGUUUGACUCUGAGCUUGACUCUCUGGUCUGACAUUCAGCUAGGUUAUGUGUCAAACUCAUUCCACGGAGGGCCGAGUGUCUGCAGGUUUUUUGCUCCUCCCUUGGACUUGAUUGAUGAAUUAAGUUCACUGGUUAGUAAGAAACUCCCUCACCUGGUUGUCUACAUCUUAAUUCAAAGGAAAAUCCAAAAGCCAGCAGACUCUAGAACCUCCAUGGAAUGGGUUUGACACCGCUGAGCUGGGGGGGGUAGUGAUCCCCAGUUAAACCCCUAACCCUCAGUCACUUAUGUUGAGCUGAAAGGAUUGUACAGGUUUACGCAAACCUCCACCAAGCCUAUAGGAGGGAAAGCUAAACCAAUUACUGUAUUGUUCAUUCCACAAAAUGCCAACGGAGGAUGUUAUAAGUUAUGUUUUAGGGCAUGAAUUGGAGAAGGAAGUGUGUAUAGUCAGGUGGAAAGAGGAGUUAGGUAGUGAAGGUCACACAUGUAGAGUAGAGAAGUGUGUAUAGUCAGGUGGAAAGAUGAGUUAGGUAGUGAAGGUCACACAUGCAGAGUAGAGAAGUGUGUAUAGUCAGGUGGAAAGAUGAGUUAGAGUUAGGUAGUGAAUGUCACAAAUGCAGAGUAGAGAAGUGUGUAUAGUCAGGUGGAAAGAUGAGUUAGAGUUAGGUAGUGAAGGUCACACAUGCAGAGUAGAG
rnacentral:lncRNA from 1 species